UGAGCUCUUGGGAGCCGUUUGGCAUGUUGCCUCUGUCUGGUGGAAACCUGUGCCAUGGGGUGCCGUGGGGGCUACUGCGCACCUCUUCUCAACUCUCCUUCAAGGACAUCGCAUUGAGAGGCUAAAUUUGGCUUUUGCGGGAGGAUUUUCACCAUGGAAAGCAUUAACUGCUACACGUUUGAGCUUCACCAUUUUAAAGAAGCCAUGAGAAAAAAUGGGAAUGAUGUAGAUUGUACUUCAAUGUAUGCCAAGCUUGUAGCUAUGACUUUUGUCUUGCUAAUGCAAAUGGAAAUACCAACCAACUGUCAUGGCAGAACUACAUUCGUUCCUCAAUUGCAACCGUACGUUGGCGGCAGUUACUGGAGUACAGUUAAUACCAAUGAAAACAUCUUGUGAGAAUCAAUUGACUAAUUGGAAUUGACUAUAAAAGUGUGAAGGAAAAAUCUGUGAAAAACGAUCAAUAACGAAAGGCAGAAUGAAAGAAUCAAAGUCAUAUCCUAUGAGGGAACAGCGUGAUCAUCCGCCUGGUGAAAGAAAGCAAGGAAAGGAUCUAAGGUUCAGAAGGAUGAUGAGAAUGGUGCAGUUGAUUCCGUCUGCCAGCAAAGUCAAUCAUCGCCAGAGCUCAGCACCCUCUCUCCCAGCAGCCCAUGGAGAAUGUCAGACUCUUUCCCUCAUUCUGCUUGUAUGCUGUAGGCACAUGACGCCAGGUUCAUUCUAAACCAAAUUCACUGAGAUUUUGUGCUAUCAAGAUGCCUUGGAGUGACGUGGUCAAUAAACCGAGAACCAGGAAGAGAUUUCUCCUCUCCGAAUCACCGUUCCGUCGCUUCCGUCCUUCCUCUGUGAUUCUUCCCACGGGAAUCCUUUUACACCUGCACGCCUGAGCAGUCAAGAGAACCAUGGCACAUUUCGACAUACGA